UACGUAGGGGGCAAGCGUUGUCCGGAUUUAUUGGGCGUAAAGAGCGUGUAGGCGGUUAGGUAGGUCCGUUGUGAAAACUCGAGGCUCAACCUCGAGACGCCGAUGGAAACCAUCUGACUAGAGUCCGGAAGAGGAGAGUGGAAUUCCUGGUGUAGCGGUGAAAUGCGCAGAUAUCAGGAAGAACACCGGUGGCGAAGGCGCCACUCUGGGCCGAAACUGACGCUGAGGAGCGAAAGCGUGGGUAGCAAACAGG
rnacentral:rRNA from 1 species